GGGAGUGUGGCUUAGUGAUAGAGUGCUUGCCUGGCAUGCAUGAAGCCCUAGGUUCCAUUCCUCACUACCU
rfam:Dipodomys ordii contig_53384, whole genome shotgun sequence.